ACCCGCGCCCGCCGGUCCCUGCCUCCCGCUGCGGGGGGUGGGGAGGGGGUGCGAGGAGCGCAGCCCCCGCCCAGGAGCCCCCACCCCCAAAUCCGAGGGGCGUUCGCCCGGCCGAGACCCGGACCGGUAUUCCCGUGGCUGCUGGGAAUUUGGCUUCUCACGAGCCCCGUAUCUAACGGAAAAGAAGUGAGUUGGAAUAGAUUGGACCGGUUCAUGCUGCACCAAGAAAGUUCUGGAGACCGCUCCACGCAGUUAGGUGGGAGUUUAGAAACAGAUGUGGGCAAGAAGAUAAUCGUUACCAUUACAGCAGCUGUGAAUCAUUGAGCAUCUCCUGUACAACAGCGCGGUGCUGGGACUAUGGUGAUGGACAGAGAUGGAAGUACUGAGCAUCUAAUGACGAUGAAGCUUCAGGCCCCUCACCUGUCCAGCCCGCGAGCCUCUGCUGCGCCUGGCACGACGACACAACACUCACACGAGCCAGCCCAGCCGUGGGGAGAGGAGGCGAGCUCCAACAAUGCCGGAUUUGUCAUCCCGGAAUAAAGUUCCUUUUGUCUCACUUUCCCAUUUUAAUGGCUUGGCUGGUACACAACGACUUGGACUUCCCUCUAGACCAAAAGCAGCACGGAACUCCCUAGCCAAGCUAGUGAUGGACACCCGAGUGGCCUUCAGUUACCUGCUGGCAGGACGGGGGCUUGUGUGCCCUGCCGGCGCCUCUCGCUGCGGACCUAUCCACAAUGCAGGGGAAGGAGAAGCCUGUGCUCAGACUUCCAGCUCCAUGAGCUCAGGGACCAUCUGUCGCCUCUGCCCCAGCACUCGACACAGUGCUCAGAACAUGCAGGUGUGCUCGAGGAUGGUACACACGAGUGAUGAAUAUUAGAGCCCAGGCUGCUCAGACGUAUGCGGCGAUGGCGUUUAGAAACUAAGGGAACAGCUCCUACGCACAGCGCGCCUUCCCCCGCGGCCCGAGCACACAUGCUCUAUCCAAUACGCAACUUCACAGGGACUGGCUCUCUGAUCUCAGCUCAAAAGGGUAUAAGGCUGGUGGAAAAGAGAAAGGUGGGAAAUAAAAUAUGGCCAGACUUCAGCAAGCAUAUGGCAGGGUCUUUCACUAUAUCCUUGUGAAUAAGAUGAGGAAACAGAAACAGGUCAAUUAAAUGGAUUUGUGCCUUUUUGAUUAAAGGACAAAACAACUACCAACCUGCAAGGAUGUUUCCACCUGAACAACUCAGGAGCUUUUUCCUCUGCGCCCUCAUCUAUCUUGCUCAUAUUUCAUUAUUUGGCGAAAUUGUACUCUCCUACUAGGCUAUGAGCUCCUCAAGAUUUUUCAUUUUUAAUUUCCCAGUGACAAGGACAGUGCAAAUAGAAUGUUAAAUAAAUAUCUGGCAUGUGGGUUUUUUAGUGAGUGCUAAAAGGCUGUCUUUGGAUUGUGUCCAGUUCAUCAUUUUUGGUAAUGGUGUGGAUGAAUUUUAGAGGUGACAUGAGGUCGAAAAACAGAACUACAUUGGAAGAAUGUACUUGAAAAUGUAUUGGUAGCUUGGAACAAAGGGCCAAAUUCAACAAGAUGAUGGAAUAAGAGAAUAAAAUCCUGUAUUUGGGCCUCCAGAAUAACUACAAAGGCACAGGUUGAACCUUUGGUUUUGGGGUUUUCCUAAGUUUUUGUGAGUCUCAUGAGAAUGAUGUUAAAAAUAAAUGUGAUUAUAAACUGGAUUAAUAGAAAAAGGA